AUUCCAGCUCCAAUAGCGUAUAUUAAAGUUGUUGCAGUUAAAAAGCUCGUAGUUGGACUUCUGAUUCGAAAGAUCGGUCCGCCGCAAGGCGAGCACUGAUUCUUCGAGUCUUCCUCUCGUAGUUGUUUGGCGCACUUGAUUGGGUGCCAGAUGAAUAUGGGACCUUUACUUUGAAAAAAUUAGAGUGUUCAAAGCAGGCAAUCGCUUGAAUACAUUAGCAUGGAAUAAUAGAAUAGGACUUUGGUUCUAUUUUGUUGGUUUCUAGGACCGAAGUAAUGAUUAAUAGGGACAGUUGGGGGCAUUAGUAUUUAAUUGUCAGAGGUGAAAUUCUUGGAUUUAUGAAAGACUAACUACUGCGAAAGCAUUUGCCAAGGAUGUUUUCAUUA
rnacentral:rRNA from 1 species